UGGUGACCCGUAGAGGUUUCCAGAAGCCUGAAAAUGUAUAAGCAUCCUGGAUCAAUUGCUUUUUUUUUUUUUUUAACAGAAAAGCAGUCAUCAGGUGGCUAUCAUAAACAUGGUUAAGAUUUGAACAGAAACUUUAUCUCAUCUUAUCAAAUGUUUAUGGGACUAAAGUUUUAUGUAAAAGUAGACUCCUUAAAACUUUGACUCUGGGAAAGUUGUUUAACAUCUGUGUUUCCAUAUUUCUUCACCUGUAAGACAGAAUAAUAAUUAUGCCUAUCUCAUAAGCUUGUGAUAUGGUGCUUAGAAAGUACAAGGCACUCUUGGAGGUACUGUAUCAUUUAAUCCUCACAAAAACUGCAUGAGUUUUUUCAUUUACAGCAUGCUACAGAUAAGAAAACAGACCUGAAAAACUGGAAUAACUCAGUGCCUCACAGAAAUUCCAAUGAAGAUAUUUUCCACCUGCAAAUUUGUUAGUGGCUAUGCUUUCUAUUCAUAUUAUCUUAACAUACACUUAAAAUGGAAGCAUUGUACCCAAGGAUUUGUUUUCAACAAUGUAGUUCAACAAUGACAAUGACAGCUGCUCAGAGGUAAUCUAUUCAACUCUUCUAAACAAAUGCAAUAUUCUGUGUACAUAUGUUUACAUUUCUACCUAUCAUUCUGAAAAAAUAAGUCACCUCCAUUAAUAUUACCCAUACCUUAACCUAAAACCUGUACAAGCCAGUGAAUAAAACCUUUGGGAAGAAAAAAUACAAAACUC